GAUGAACGCUGACAGAAUGCUUAACACAUGCAAGUCAACUUGAACUUCGGUUUGGGUGGCGGACGGGUGAGUAACGCGUAAAGAACUUGCCUCACAGCUAGGGACAACAUUUGGAAACGAAUGCUAAUACCUGAUAUUAUGAUUAUAUGGCAUCGUAUAAUUAUGAAAGCUAUAUGCGCUGUGAGAGAGCUUUGCGUCCCAUUAGCUAGUUGGAGAGGUAACAGCUCACCAAGGCGAUGAUGGGUAGCCGGCCUGAGAGGGUGAUCGGCCACAAGGGGACUGAGACACGGCCCUUACUCCUACGGGAGGCAGCAGUGGGGAAUAUUGGACAAUGGACCGAGAGUCUGAUCCAGCAAUUCUGUGUGCACGAUGAAGUUUUUCGGAAUGUAAAGUGCUUUCAGUUGGGAAGAAAAAAAUGACGGUACCAACAGAAGAAGUGACGGCUAAAUACGU
rnacentral:rRNA from 1 species